rnacentral:tRNA from 2 species
AGGGGCGUCAGAUCAACGGCUAAUCUGCCGGUCUCCAAAACCGGUCAUGGGGGUUCGAGUCCCUCCGCCCCUGCCA